rnacentral:sRNA from 1 species
CUUAAAUGAAGACCUCCUAACUUUAUUUAAGCACCUCAAAAAACAUUUUUCAUCAUAAUCUCCCAAAGUCACCCAAUUCGGUGGCUUUUUU